rnacentral:rRNA from 1 species
UGCCAGCAGCCGCGGUAAUACGGGGGGGGCAAGCGUUGUUCGGAAUUACUGGGCGUAAAGGGCGCGCAGGCGGGCGAGAUAGUCUUUCGUGAAAGCCCACGGCUCAACCGUGGAAUUGCGGGAGAUACUUCUCGUCUUGAGUCCGGGAGAGGAAAGUGGAAUUCCGAGUGUAGGGGUGAAAUCCGUAGAUAUUCGGAGGAACACCAGUGGCGAAGGCGGCUUUCUGGACCGAUACUGACGCUGAGACGCGAAAGCGUGGGGAGCAAACAGGAUUAGAUA